rnacentral:tRNA from 1 species
GCAGUGGUGGUUCAGUGGUAGAAUUCUCACCUUUUAGGCAGGAGACUUGAGUUUGAAUCCCUACCAGCGCA